rnacentral:rRNA from 1 species
UACGUAGGGGGCAAGCGUUGUCCGGAUUUAUUGGGCGUAAAGAGCUCGUAGGCGGCUCGGUAAGUCGGAUGUGAAACCUCCAGGCUCAACCUGGAGACGCCAUCUGAUACUGCCGUGGCUUGAGUCCGGUAGAGGAGCAGGGAAUUCCUGGUGUAGCGGUGAAAUGCGCAGAUAUCAGGAGGAACACCAGCGGCGAAGGCGCUGCUCUGGGGCCGGUACUGACGCUGAGGAGCGAAAAGCGUGGGGGAGCGAACAGG